rnacentral:rRNA from 4 species
AAUCCAUAGGUUAAUGAGGCGAACCGGGGGAACUGAAACAUCUAAGUACCCCGAGGAAAAGAAAUCAACCGAGAUUCCCCCAGUAGCGGCGAGCGAACGGGGAGGAGCCCAGAGCCUGAAUCAGCAUGUGUGUUAGUGGAAGCGUCUGGAAAGGCGCGCGAUACAGGGUGACAGCCCCGUACACAAAAGCGCAUGUGCUGUGAGCUCGAUGAGUAGGGCGGGACACGUGGUAUCCUGUCUGAAUAUGGGGGGACCAUCCUCCAAGGCUAAAUACUCCUGACUGACCGAUAGUGAACCAGUACCGUGAGGGAAAGGCGAAAAGAACCCCGGCGAGGGGAGUGAAAAAGAACCUGAAACCGUGUACGUACAAGCAGUGGGAGCACCCUUUGGGGUGUGACUGCGUACCUUUUGUAUAAUGGGUCAGCGACUUAUAUUCUGUAGCAAGGUUAACCGAAUAGGGGAGCCGGAGGGAAACCGAGUCUUAAC